GACAGAGGGGGCAAGCGUUGCUCGGAAUUACUGGGCGUAAAGGGCGCGUAGGCGGCCUUCUAAGUCGAACGUGAAAUCCCCGGGCUCAACCCGGGAACUGCGUCCGAUACUGGAAGGCUUGAAUCCGGGAGAGGGAUGUGGAAUUCCAGGUGUAGCGGUGAAAUGCGUAGAUAUCUGGAGGAACACCGGUGGCGAAGGCGACAUCCUGGACCGGUAUUGACGCUGAGGCGCGAAAGCCAGGGGAGCAAACGGG
rnacentral:rRNA from 1 species